UACGUAGGUGACAAGCGUUGUCCGGAAUUAUUGGGCGUAAAGGGCUCGUAGGCGGUUUGUCGCGUCGGGAGUGAAAUCCACUGGCUUAACUGGUGGCUUGCUUUCGAUACGGGCAGACUGGAGGUAUGCAGGGGAGAACGGAAUUCCUGGUGUAGCGGUGAAAUGCGCAGAUAUCAGGAGGAACACCGGUGGCGAAGGCGGUUCUCUGGGCAUGUCCUGACGCUGAGGAGCGAAAGUGUGGGGAGCGAACAGG
rnacentral:rRNA from 1 species